ensembl:rRNA 5S_rRNA 5S ribosomal RNA
GUCUACGGCCAUACCACCCUGAACAUACCUGAUCUCAGAAGUGAAGUGGGGUUGGGCCUGGUUAGUAUUUGGAUGGGAAAAAAGAGAAAUUUUAUGUU